UCAGCGGGAGACAAAGGAUCAUGGUGUU
rnacentral:piRNA from 1 species